rnacentral:rRNA from 1 species
ACGCCGCUCAGAACUAAGGAAUUGACGGGGCCCGCACAAGCGGUGGAGCAUGUGGUUUAAUUCGACGCAACGCGCAGAACCUACCAGCCCUUGACAUGGGGUCGCGGGUACCAGAGACGGUACCCUUCAGUUCGGCUGGACCCCACACAGGUGCUGCAUGGCUGUCGUCAGCUCGUGUCGUGAGAUGUUGGGUUAAGUCCCGCAACGAGCGCAACCCUCAUCUUCAGUUGCCAGCGGUUAGGCCGGGCACUCUGAAGAAACUGCCGGUGACAAGCCGGAGGAAGGUGGGGAUGACGUCAAGUCCUCAUGGCCCUUAUGGGCUGGGCUACACACGUGCUACAAUGACGGUGACAACGGGAAGCGACAGGGCGACCUUGAGCUAAUCCCCAAAAGCCGUCUCAGUUCGGAUUGUACUCUGCAACUCGGGUGCAUGAAGGCGGAAUCGCUAGUAAUCGCGGAUCAGCACGCCGCGGUGAAUACGUUCCCGGGCCUU